UAGGGGGUCUGAGAGGAUGGUCCCCCACACUGGUACUGAGACACGGACCAGACUCCUACGGGAGGCAGCAGUGAGGAAUAUUGGUCAAUGGGCGAAAGCCUGAACCAGCCAUGCCGCGUGAAGGAUGACGGCCCUACGGGUUGUAAACUUCUUUUGUUUGAGAAGAAACCUCCCUACGUGUAGGGGGCUGACGGUAUCGAACGAAUAAGCAUCGGCUAACUCCGUGCCAGCAGCCGCGGUAAUACGGAGGAUGCAAGCGUUAUCCGGAUUCAUUGGGUUUAAAGGGUACGCAGGCGGAAGACUAAGUCAGUGGUGAAAUCCUGCAGCUUAACUGUAGAACUGUCAUUGAUACUGGUUUUCUUGGAUUCAGUUGAGGUAGCCGGAAUGUGUAAUGUAGCGGUGAAAUGCUUAGAUAUUACACAGAACACCGAUUGCGAAGGCAGCUUACUAAACUGCGAUUGACGCUGAGGUACGAAAGCGUGGGUAGCAAACAGGAUUAGAUACCCUGGUAGUCCACGCCGUAAACUAUGAUCACUCGUUGUUGGCAACACAUCGUCAGCGACUGAGCGAAAGCAUUAAGUGAUCCACCUGGGGAGUACGGCCGCAAGGUUGAAACUCAAAGGAAUUGACGGGGGCCCGCACAAGCGGAGGAACAUGUGGUUUAAUUCGAUGAUACGCGAGGAACCUUACCUGGGCUUAAAUGUAGAGCGACGGACCGGGAAACUGGUCUUUCUUCGGACGAUCUACAAGGUGCUGCAUGGCUGUCGUCAGCUCGUGCCGUGAGGUGUCGGGUUAAGUCCCAUAACGAGCGCAACCCUUAUCAUUAGUUGCCAGCGGGUAAUGCCGGGGACUCUAAUGAAACUGCCGGUGUAAACCGAGAGGAAGGUGGGGAUGACGUCAAGUCAGCACGGCCCUUAUGUCCAGGGCUACACACGUGUUACAAUGGUCGGUACAAAGGGCAGCUACCAGGCGACUGGAUGCUAAUCUCGAAAGCCGAUCUCAGUUCGGAUCGGAGUCUGCAACUCGACUUCGUGAAGCUGGAUUCGCUAGUAAUCGCGCAUCAGCCAUGGCGCGGUGAAUACGUUCCCGGGCCUUGUACACACCGCCCGUCAAGCCAUGGAAGCCGGGGGUACCUGAAGUCCGUAACCGCAAGGAGCGGCCU
rnacentral:rRNA from 1 species